UGCCUGCAGGCGAGAAUGUAGUUAUGGUAAUAUGUAGAGGAUAUGGUCGGCACUGCUGUAGGUGUGGGAUUUAAUUUAGUGCUGCACUGAUCGAAUGUAAGUAGUGGUGGUGCUCAGCAUAAAAAACAAGUAGUAUUUGCAACAAAGGAGAGAAAAGAAA